AUUAAUAGUUGCAUGGCUAUGUGUGUUUGUUUAAACUAAUAAAACUUCAGUGAAUUUUACCAAAUUUAUAUUAUACUCAAUAGGUGUUAAAACAGGAAAUUCUUAUGCACAACUUACCUGUUUAUCCUCUUGACUUUUCUUCUAGGCAUGGCAUCACAGUUCUGAUGAAUGAUGAUGAUAAACUAUCCCCCUAUGUUGUCUAAUCUUACCUUUACUUCUUACCUUUUUUUGAGAUUACUUCUAAUAUUUGAUGGAGGAGAAGGCUGUAAUCCUUUGAGUCAAAAUAAAUAUGUAUACACCCACACAGGCACAUACACACACCCCUCAGGAAUUAAAAUACGUAUAAAGCAAUGGAAUUGUAAAUGUGUCAUAAGGAAGAGGAACUUCUUCCGUCUAUGCAUAACAUGUAAUUUUCUAUUAAUUAAGUGGCAAAACUGAUCAAGAUCACACAAAUGUUAAAUAACCAUUCAGUAUGAUACUCAAUUAAGAUAGCAUAAAUAAUAUAUUUGAAUCUCUAUCAUCUCACUGUCUCUAGUUUAUUUGUUCCAUAAAUAGCUAAGGUCAAAAUGGCUUAAAAAUCUUUUUUUUAAAUAAAUACUGGCAUUCUCUGUUCCUUAUACUCACCAAGGUUCUUUCUGCAUGUAGGACCUCUCCCCAUGCUAUUUGUAAUACUGAAAUUCUAUGACAUGGUUGCUUU
rnacentral:lncRNA from 1 species